GAUGAACGCUGGCGGCGUGCCUAAUACAUGCGAGUCGAGCGAACGGACGAGAAGCUUGCUUCUCUGAUGUUAGCGGCGGACGGGUGAGUAACACGUGGAUAACCUACCUAUAAGACUGGGAUAACUUCGGGAAACCGGAGCUAAUACCGGAAAAUAUUUUAAACUUCAUGGUUCAAAAGUGAAAGACGGUAUUGCUGUCACUUAUAGAUGGAUCCGCGCUGCAUUAGCUAGUUGGUAAGGUAACGGCUUACCAAGGCAACGAUGCAUAGCCGACCUGAGAGGGGGACGGGCCACAUGGGAACUGAGACCCGGCCCGGACCCCUCGGGGAGGCAGCAGUAGGGAAUCUUCCGCAAUGGGCGAAAGCCUGCCGGAGCAACGCCGCGUGAGUGAUGAAGGUCUUCGGAUCGUAAACCCCUGUUAUUAGGGAAGAACAUAUGGGGAGGUAACUGUGCACACAGUGACGGUACCUAAUCAGAAAGCCACGGCUAACUACGUG
rnacentral:rRNA from 1 species